rnacentral:rRNA from 1 species
UUGGUGCUCGAAAGAGAGCCUGGACACAGGUGCUGCAUGGCUGUCGUCAGCUCGUGUCGUGAGAUGUUGGGUUAAGUCCCGCAACGAGCGCAACCCUUGUCAUUAGUUGCCAUCAUUCAGUUGGGCACUCUAAUGAGACUGCCGGUGACAAGCCGGAGGAAGGUGGGGAUGACGUCAAGUCCUCAUGGCCCUUAUAGGUGGGGCUACACACGUCAUACAAUGGCUGGUACAGAGGGUUGCCAACCCGCGAGGGGGAGCUAAUCCCAUAAAGCCAGUCGUAGUCCGGAUCGCAGUCUGCAACUCGACUGCGUGAAGUCGGAAUCGCUAGUAAUCGCGGAUCAGAAUGUCGCGGUGAAUACGUUCCCGGGUCUU